UGCUCUACGGGCUCUCUACAGCCCAGGCACCUUGAUAUCAGGCUUGGAGCAAUGAAACGCUGAUCGGCCAGCGUUAAGCCAGUAAUGAGAAGUAAAGAAAGAAAAAUAAGAAAAAAAGGAACAAAGAGGAACAAAGAGGAGUGCUCCUCAGUGCCGUAUGUACAACAUCAGAAGUGGGCCUGUGGUCUCUCACUCAUUCUCACCGCUCCCUAUGGCAGAAACGGCGACAGAUCAGUGGCACCCGCCCUUCCCAUCCACAAUAUCAACAUCCAGCUUGACAUCACACUAGUACUCCUGACCACUUGCAGCCUCCUCACGAAUACUGGGACUAUCGACUCUGCACCCUUGCCAGGCACUUCUCCAGUGACGGGCAGCACUGGGAUGACCCGGGCUGGCUACCUAUGGCGGCCGACCAGGGACAAUCCUAUAAGGGUACACGGGUCAGCUCCGAUAACCGGGACUCUCCGCAUGACCCUGUGCUACAAAAAAACUAUCAGGAGACUGAAGUGCCACCACCGAGAGUCUUUCCCUGAAUCAAAAUGGCGUCUCACCUCUCCAAUACUCCAACGAGCAUGCGUGGAGAACGAUGCCAGUGGUCUCCAUGAAUACUCUGCACAUGAUUGCUCACGUGGUUUUGUUGUCAUACGUCACUUCCGACCACCUCACAGGAUUGCCUUGUGUGUGUAGGGGGAAGGCGCGCGAUGCCCCGCUGCGCAAACAGGAAGUCAUCUGUUGGGUGAGUGACUGGAUCCUCCGCCCACUUUUGUAAAAGAGACUUUACAGUGCACACAACACUAUGCAAUAUUGUUUCUAAUGCAAUAUUUAUAAAUUACAAUUGCCCACAUUUUUCAUAUCCUAUGUUGUGCACCUGUACUCACUGUUUGAUCACUUUGCAACAUCACACCUUUAUUUGUUUAUUUGUUUACAUGUCAAUUAUGUUUGAUUAAUGGGCGGAACUUCGUGACCAGAAAAACCCUCCAUGUACUACCAUUUGUUGCUUGAUAAUGGCAGCGAGAGGCUGUUGAAACGUCGCUCACAGUGGAGUUAUAUAAAAGACAUCACUUUGCACUAAUUACGGGAGUGACACUGCUUCUUUUUGGAUAUAUCUACAUUGGACCUCAUACCAAGGUUUACAACAGUAGGCACCCCUACACCCAGUCCAUAGGAGUGCUGCUUUCUCCUUUUCCCACAGUAUUAUACAGAUAGAGCUGGAGGGUAGGUUUAUAACAACUAUAUAUCCUGUUCCCAUUGAGAUAGCAGCAGCAGCAGUAUACAGAUAGAGCUGGAGGGGAAGUGUAUAACUACUGUAUAUCCUAAACACAUGGAGAUAGCAGCAGUAUACAGAUAGAGAGAUAGAGUAGGGAGGGGUCCCGUAGCUGGGAGGAGGGAUCUGAUCACUUCCUAUGACACAUUAAAGAGGUUCUGUGGUCAAGUCCAGAACAUAGAUAAUUUUUAUAUGUAAAUAUAGGUUAAGGGGCCCUGAUAAUUUACCUUUUUACUGUUUGUUAAUUGGACCCUCGUUCCAGAUAUUUGGGUCUUUUUUCAUCCCAUCUGAUGGUCUACAAAUUUGUCAGAUAGAGGCCACGGUUGGGGGAGUGUUUAGCGCUGUCGGGGGAGUGUUUAGCGCUGGCCGCUCAUAGAGCCGUAUACUGUAUACACAUAGAAGCUGCUGCCGGCCCGUGUCCUCCCUCCACCUCCCUCAUUAACCCCCUACUGACUGUUGUUAUUCCGUGGGGAUGGGGAAGGUGUUUUGUACACGACUAAAGUUUUAUCUGUGACAAAGCACGAGGGAUGUGCGAAAUGCGUUGGUUGCUUGGAACCUUUUUUUCUUUUUACCCAACUAAGUAAUAAAGAAUUGGAAUCAUGAAUGGAGGGGGAGGUUUAUCAAACCCUGUGCAGAGGAAUAGUCGUGCAGUUGCCCAUAGCAACCAAUAAGACAGCUGAUUGGUUGUCAUGGGCAACUGCUCCACUCUUCCUCUUGAAUCUCCCCCAAUGUGUUAUGAAGCUCUAAAAAAAGACUUUUCAUUUUUUUCUUCAGAAAUUUUUCAUGUUUUUUCCUGAACUGCCGAUCGUGUUUUAAUCGGUGACAUUUAGACGGAAUGUUCUGAACACUCGAAAAAAACAAAAUGAUGUUUUGAUGAUUUUUCACCAACUGACAUGUAUGUGUGUGUGCGCUUGGAUCUGCAGGGGCAAUUAUCAGAAAAAGAAUGUUACACAGGAGACUAUGAAUUCAGGUAACAUUUAAUCAUUAAUUAUAUAAUCAUUAAGUGCAAGCAGAAGGCAGUGUUAACGCGUGUCAUUACACGAAGUGUCGCUGGACACGAAAAGGGUUAACACUGCAUUCUCCUUGCAAGUUAGCCUUUCUUAAAGGGGUACUCCGCUGCUCAGCAUUUGGAACAAACUGUUCCGAAUGCUGGAGCCGGCGCCGGGAGCUUGUGAUGUCAUAUCCCGCCCUCUCAUGCUGUCAUGCCCCGCCCCUUAAUGCAAAUCUAUGGAAAGGGGGCGUGAUGGCUGCCACGCCCCCUCUCAUAGACUUGCAUUGGGGGGAGUGGCAUAACAUCAUGGGGGGUGGAGCUAUGAUGUCACAAGCUCCCUGCACCAGCUCCAGCGUUUGGAACUCCCAAUAGGGGACAACAAGGCUUAUGUGUCAGUCCUUUCUUGUACACAGGGUCAGUGUCAGUCCACUUGUGCCACAUCACUUUUUCCCUUCCCUC